GAUGAAGAACGCAGUGAAAUGCGAUACGUAAUGUGAAUUGCAGAAUUCAGUGAAUCAUCGAGUCUUUGAACGCACAUUGCGCCCCCUGGUAUUCCGGGGGGCAUGCCUGUCCGAGCGUCAUUGCUGCCCUCAAGCACGGCUUGUGUGUUGGGCCUCCGUCCUCCUCCCGGGGGACGGGCCCGAAAGGCAGCGGCGGCACCGCGUCCGGUCCUCGAGCGUAUGGGGCUUCGUCACCCGCUCUUGUAGGCCCGGCCGGCGCUUGCCGACACAUCAAUCUUUUUUCCAGGUUGACCUCGGAUCAGGUAGGGAUACCCGCUGAACUUAAGCAUAUCAAUAAGCCGGAGGA
rnacentral:misc_RNA from 1 species